GACGAACGCUGGCGGCGUGCUUAACACAUGCAAGUCGAACGGAAAGGCCCUGCUUUUGUGGGGUGCUCGAGUGGCGAACGGAUGAGUAACACGUGAGUAACCUGCCCUUGACUUUGGGAUAACUUCAGGAAACUGGGGCUAAUACCGGAUAGGAGCUCCUGCUGCAUGGUGGGGGUUGGAAAGUUUCGGCGGUUGGGGAUGGACUCGCGGCUUAUCAGCUUGUUGGUGGGGUAGUGGCUUACCAAGGCUUUGACGGGUAGCCGGCCUGAGAGGGUGACCGGCCACAUUGGGACUGAGAUACGGCCCAGACUCCUACGGGAGGCAGCAGUGGGGAAUAUUGCACAAUGGGCGGAAGCCUGAUGCAGCAACGCCGCGCGCGGGAUGACGGCCUUCGGGUUGUAAACCGCUUUCGCCUGUGACGAAGCGUGAGUGACGGUAAUGGGUAAAGAAGCACCGGCUAACUACGUG
rnacentral:rRNA from 1 species